CUCUGCCCCGCCAGGUCGAAAUUCGAAUAAAACGCACAAUAUAUCUGCUAGAUCUUUUGAAGAUUACUAAAAUUUCUUUACUGUGUCUGAAUCAUGAAAGGAUCAUGAAAGGAUAUCAAAUUAUGUUUACCUGUCAUCCACUUUUUGUGAAACCAGUACGGUCUCAUCUACAUCUGAGACAGUUAAAUAAAACUGCGCGCUUAUAAUAGAAGUUAUUAUAUGAAUGACAAUUGUAAAAUAUUUAUUAAGCUGUAUGACUAGGAGUUAGGCAAAUCUAAAAUCCCUAUUCAAAUUCAUUUACAUUUAUUUUGACCGUAUUCCAGAGUUCUAGCCAAUCAUUAAUGUUGACAUAAAACAGACUGUCCAAUCGGGACUCAGAAUAGAUCACAUGCGUUUUGUUUGUGAUACCGCUUGUGAGCACUUGACCUUGGUUUGAAUAGAAUAACAAUAGAGGGGGGAGUUAGAUGAAAUUGAUCAACAAAAACUGGAACCGUGCAUUGGCAGACGAGUAUUAUAUAAACAGAUGUUUGUAAGCAGUUGAAAACAAAAGUGUUCACAACUCGAAGAAAUACUUUAGGAAUUUCAGAGAAGCUUGCUGACAAUGAGGCUGACUGUGACAAAUACCCUUGUCCUCGUGCUGAUUGUUUUUAUCCGAACAGAAAGAACUGUAGCGUAUUCGUCCGAAGAUUGUAUAAAGGCUUGUGGAUACAGAUCUUUUUCAGAACGUGUCUGCCAGUCAUGUGUUGACAAACCACCAAUGGACUUCAAAAUGUGCACCUUUGCCUGCGACAAUACUUCUAAAACUUAUAAAUACACCCAACAAAUAUGUUACAAAUGUGCAUCUUCUGUAGAGUUAACACCACAGAUGUGUAACCGAGCGUGCGAGAAUUUUCAACGCAUUCCGUAUGGGCAAAUAUGUGAUCGUUGUCAAAAGUUGUAAAAAGAAGCCGGACAUGUAGACAUGCAUGCGGAAAUACUAUUUCUUUUGAUUUCCAGAGAAUCUUCAAUGCAUGCAAAGACUGAUAGACUGAUGUCGUGUAUAUAUUUGCGUUGUUACCCAGCAUCGAUUCCACGAACAACGAGAUUACUAACAAAAAGAAAUUUAUGCUUUAUUUUUUGUUGUUGUUGUUGUUUAUUGUUUGGUUUGAACUUAUUUUUUUGUGUGUAAAAUGUUUAAUUUGCUACAAUUAAUUGACUUGUCUUGAUGCUUGAAGAAAGUUUCAGAGCCGAUUGUUAACAUACUACAAGUAUUUGCUGAACAACCCGUUUCUAACGGGCCAUGAUAUUCAACAUAUCAGAGGAAUCUCGUUGCACUUUGCAACACAAUAAAUGCUUAGUCGAUUGCAUGAUCAGUGAUAUUAACAGAAUUAGACACAUUAAAAGAGAACCAGCCUUUACUUGGAAAUCCUGCAAAUCAAGGACAAAAACAAGGAUUUAGCUAAGCAAUUACUUAUGUUUUGUAGUGAAACUGGGGCCUGAAUGAGAUAUCUGAAAUGAGCUGUAGUCAGGCACUCGCAGCCUAUUUGGAAAUACAUUUAAAGACUUACUUACAAAGUUCAUUAAACGUUAUUUCUAUACUCAUACAAGUAUGUAUAAAUUCUUAGAAUUGCUACAAUCUAGUAAUAAAUCUACUCUGGUUAAUUAAAUUUGUGUAAAUAUAUAACUUUAGCUAAUACUAGUAACAAGAGAAACGAAUUAUUGUUUGGAAUUUAACACGUGUCUUGGAAAUUCAUGUGCGUUUGUUUGUGUUAACAUUAAUUAUUAAUUAUAUAACAUAUACUGCCAUUCAGUUGAUCACCAUGUAGAAUACAACCUAUACUUCUUGAAUUCGUAAAUGCAGGUAAUUUUUGUGCAGUAAUAUUUCAAUAUAUAACAAUAUCGACAUCGUUUAUAUCAUGACAUCGUUGUAAUAUUCCUGUAACAUCCCAAUUUAUUUGUUAAAAUCAGAUCUGUUCAUUCUCUGCUUACAAGUCCUUUUGCCUGUCACGUGUAUUGCAAUAUAUGUUUAAUCUCAUGUUGUAUGAACAAGAUACAUGUAUUAUAUACCUUAAUAAUAAUAUAUAUAUAUAUAUAA